CCCUUAGAUGUUCUGGGCUGCACGUGCGCUACACUGAUGCAUUCAACGAGUUUUACCUUGGCCGAGAGGCCUGGGCAAUCUUUUAAACCUGCAUCGUGAUAGGGAUAGAUUAUUGCAAUUAUUAAUCUUGAACGAGGAAUUCCUAGUAAACGCGAAUCGUCAAUUCGCAUUGAUUACGUCCCUGCCCUUUGUACACACCGCCCGUCGCACCUACCGAUUGAAUGGUCCGGUGAGGCCUCGGGAUUGUGGCCAGUUUCCUUCAUUGGGAGUUGGUUGUGAGAACUUGUCCAAACCUUAUCAUUUAGAGGAAGGUGAAGUCGUAACA
rnacentral:rRNA from 1 species